GACGAACGCUGGCGGCGUGCUUAACACAUGCAGGUCGAACGGAAAGGCCCUGCUUGCAGGGUACUCGAGUGGCGAACGGGUGAGUAACACGUGGGUGAUCUGCCCUGCACUUCGGGAUAAGCCUGGGAAACUGGGUCUAAUACCGGAUAGGAGCCAUUUUUAGUGUGAUGGUUGGAAAGUUUUUUCGGUGUAGGAUGAGCUCGCGGCCUAUCAGCUUGUUGGUGGGGUAAUGGCCUACCAAGGCGGCGACGGGUAGCCGGCCUGAGAGGGUGGACGGCCACAUUGGGACUGAGAUACGGCCCAGACGCCGACGGGAGGCAGCAGUGGGGAAUAUUGCACAAUGGGCGCAAGCCUGAUGCAGCGACGCCGCGUGGGGGAUGACGGCCUUCGGGUUGUAAACUCCUUUCGCUAGGGACGAAGCUUUUUGUGACGGUACCUAGAUAAGAAGCACCGGCUAACUACGUG
rnacentral:rRNA from 1 species